CCCCAGACUCCUACGGGAGGCAGCAGUGAGGAAUAUUGGUCAAUGGGCGGGAGCCUGAACCAGCCAAGUCGCGUGAGGGAAGACGGUCCUAUGGAUUGUAAACCUCUUUAGGCGGGGAGCAAUGCCGGGCACGCGUGUCCGGAGGGAGAGUACCCGCAGAAUAAGCAUCGGCUAACUCCGUGCCAGCAGCCGCGGGAAUACGGAGGAUGCGAGCGUUAUCCGGAUUUAUUGGGUUUAAAGGGUGCGUAGGGGGACAGUCAAGUCAGCGGUAAAAAUGCGGGGCUCAACGCCGUACAGCCGUUGAAACUGGCAGUCUUGAGUGGGCGAGAAGUAUGCGGAAUGCGUGGUGUAGCGGUGAAAUGCAUAGAUAUCACGCAGAACUCCGAUUGCGAAGGCAGCAUACCGGCGCCCUACUGACGCUGAGGCACGAAAGCGUGGGGAUCGAACAGGAUUAGAUACCCCUGUAUC
rnacentral:rRNA from 1 species